GACGAACCCGUGCAAACGUUGUUCGGAUUCACUGGGCUUAAAGGGCGCGUAGGCGGCCAGACCAGUCUGUGGUGAAAUCUUUCGGCUCAACCGGAAAAUUGCCGUGGAUACUGUCUGGCUCGAGGAAGGUAGGGGCAACUGGAACGGCCAGUGGAGCGGUGAAAUGCGUUGAUAUUGGCAGGAACGCCGGUGGCGAAAGCGAGUUGCUGGACCUUUUCUGACGCUGAGGCGCGAAAGCUAGGGAAGCAAACGGGAUUAGAAA
rnacentral:rRNA from 1 species